CAGAAGAGCACCAGACUGAAGUACACACAGCAAUCAGAAAGCUGACAAGCUGUUGCAUUUUGUAGCAGAUGCAGCUCUAACAGGGAAAAGACACGUUCAUAUGCAUGGGAACAGAGGCUCAGCAGAUGUCUCAGCAGAUACAGAU
rnacentral:lncRNA from 12 species